UUUUCAAAAUUAUCUUUAAUAAUUUAAUGUUUACAUUUAUAUAAUAGUAAUGACGACAUUUUUAACUUUAGGAUUACUCAGCGGCAAAUGCUCACAUGGCGCAAAUUUCAAAUAUAUAAAGUAUUCAUUUUUAAAAGAUGAACGUGAUCGGAACAAGCUAGGGCUGAAUUAGACUAUAUUAAUUAUUAAAGUUACCUCGGAUCCGGAUCCGGAUCCGUAUCAGAGUCAGGAUCCGGAUCCAUCAUCGCGGAUCCGCGGAUCCGGAUCCGCAUCAAAAUGAUACGGAUCCGAAACACUGGUUUACAGAACAAUAAUUGUAAUUACAAGGUUUAUCUUAGUGAUUUUUAAAAAAGAUAAAGGAAAGCUGUUUUCCAUCCACUUUAUUCACUAGUCGAUUUCAUUUUGUUUUGUUGAAAUGUUGGUAAAAAAUGGCAAUUGAAACUUUAUUAAUGAAGAAUGUAGAAGUUUAAUUAUUUAAAUAAUUACCACUGUUAAAGUUUAGAUUUGUACCGUAGCGCACACUUUGCACAGCUUGUUGUACACCAUAAACCCUGUUGUUUACAAUUUUUAUAUCUCAGGCUGUGAAUGUAUUUACUUCUGUAUAAAUAAUAUUAUUUUGUUAAACUUCUUUUCUCUUUCUACAACACACGCUAAAUAUUAAAUUACUCCGACUCCAGAUAUGAUAUGCAUAAGCAUAUAUGUGCCAUAUCUUUGUAUACAGUUAAAGUGUUCAAGUUGAAAAUUAAUAAAAGAGAAUGAGUUUAACCAGUCGUGGCUGGUUCACCUGACUUCGAUCUUCACUUUUCCUGAGGUACAAAUAAGGGGAUGACCAAAGUUGGAGUUUUUAAGUAACCAAUUGAAUCUGAUUCAAAUAAAUGGUUCCAUAUUCUGUUAUUAAACACAUGAACCUGAGAAUUGAAUCAUUAAAGGCAACAUCUUAAAUGUAUAUAAAGUUUCGUUUUAAAGUCGUUUUUGGGUUUCUCUCUAUUCAAUCUUUAGUCAAAGCAGGAAAAGAGAAGGAGUUCAAUCAGCAUUGUACUUUUAUUUUCUCAUUGUUAAACAAUUUGUUGAUUUACAUAAAAGUGUAUAAUUGUUAAACAAAUUUGUAACCGUUUAUAAAAUAAAUUUUGAAAUGUU